GUAGGUGGCAAGCGUUAUCCGGAUUUACUGGGUGUAAAGGGAGCGUAGACGGCAAGGCAAGCCAGAAGUGAAAGGGCAGGGCUCAACCCUGUACAUGCUUUUGGAACUGUGGUGCUAGAGUGCAGGAGAGGUAAGUGGAAUUCCUAGUGUAGCGGUGAAAUGCGUAGAUAUUAGGAGGAACACCAGUGGCGAAGGCGGCUUACUGGACUGUAACUGACGUUGAGGCUCGAAAGCGUGGGGAGCAAA
rnacentral:rRNA from 1 species